rnacentral:lncRNA from 1 species
AAGGGCGCCGUGACACCACAUCCCAGGGACCCUUUCUGUUGCCGCGGUUGUCAUCCUCUCGUUUUGCUCCCAGCUGCAGGUGCCACAUGAGGCGCCCUUCCCUUCCUGAAGCUCUUGCUCUCUCGGCUUCCAUGAGACCCCCGCCCCUCCUAGCUGGCCUCCAAGGUCUGCUUCUUCGUGAGCUCCUUUGUCAGCUCCUCCUAUUCCACCCAACUUGAAAUGUCAAUAUUUCUUAGUAACUAGACCUGAAUUUCCUAUUCUCUUUUUCCUGUCUAGGGCCUCUCAUUUAUUCUCCUGGUUUUAAGUGUCGCAUGUCAGCUCCUAGAUUUGUAAACCCAAACCUGAGUUCUGAAAUCCGGACUUCUCAACUAGCAGGUGGCGGUGGUUUAGUUGUGGACCACGUUUCAUCAGAAUUCUCCACUAUGACCCAUCCAUCUUGGGCAGCCCUCUACAGCACGGCUCAUAGCUUCAUUGAGUUACUCAAGCUCCUUCACCACAACAAGGCUGUGAUCCAUGAACGGGAUAUUGUCUACACUGGAUUAAGUAAAAUAUGUUAACUUC